UACGGAGGGUGCGAACGUUGUUCGGAAUCACUGGGCAUAAAGGGCGCGUAGGCGGCUUUUCAAGUCAGGGGUGAAAUCCGGCAGCUCAACUGUCGAAGUGCCUUUGAUACUGGAGAGCUCGAGGGAGGUAGGGGUGUGCGGAACUUCCGGUGGAGCGGUGAAAUGCGUUGAUAUCGGAAGGAACGCCGGUGGCGAAAGCGGCGCACUGGACCUCUUCUGACGCUGAGGCGCGAAAGCCAGGGGAGCAAACGGG
rnacentral:rRNA from 1 species